rnacentral:rRNA from 8 species
GCGACCCCAGGUCAGACGGGACUACCCGCUGAGUUUAA